UCAUGGCGGGAAAUUAAAGUGUAUUGGGUUUGAAGUUUGCAAUGCCAAACUAAAAUGAAUUCCUCGACUUCGCCCGAUGAAAAGAACAAUGAUCUGCCAAUGGUGUUUCAGUGUGAAAACUGCAGAACAAUAGUUGGUGACACAAUAUGUCCAGUGAUAGCUAACAACUCGCUACGUUUGAUAACCCUGGACAGGGUUACAAAUAAAGUUAGAGUAAGAGAGAAGUUAAUCUCAUCAUCAAGUUCAGCUGAUCUAGGAAGUUCUUACAAUCCAUUAAUCUGUGAAGCUUGUAAUAGUGAUUUGGGACGAAUCUAUAGGACUACCACAUUUCAAUUGGAUGAUUUGAGAAACAAAUACAGCUUGUAUAUUGACAGACUUUCUUUCUAUCGUUUAGACAGUGGAGAAAUGACUAAUGAACAUCUAAACAAUGGUAACAUCCAAUCUUACAAACAGUUAGAACAAGAAAUAUUAAAAUUACAAGCAGUUUCUGUGUCAUUCAACAGUCGGAUAAUACAACUUGAAGAAAGAUUGAAAGAGGAAUUAAAUUCAAGUUAAUUACUGAAACUCAAGUCAUAGGUUUCAAUACAAUCAACUGAUCGAAAUGAAAUUUAUCAAGUGCCUUAUAUAUUUUCAAAUGUGUAAUAAACAUGACUUGAUUUAACUUCAGUCUAAUAGAUUAUCUAAGAGAAUAAGUGCUAAAAAUGGAAUAUUAAACAAUACUAGCUCGACUUUAUUUAUAACUGGAUUUAGAGUGUGAUGUAAUCAAAUCAAUUAAUUUUACUGCAUUCAUUUAUACUAAAAGACAAUUAAACAUACAUUAUGCAAGAGGUAAAUCUGCCUAUUACAGGUCUUUCUUUAGGCCUGAACUGUUAUAUAAACUAUUAAUUAGAUAUUUAUUAACAUGAAAAGACCUUAAUCAACUCCCGAUGCCAUCUUAUCUGUCCGAUUUUCAUUGGAUUUGAAUGUGAUCUGCUGUUCAACGUCCAUUGAUGAUUAAACGCAAAAAUGGAUAUUUUGAUUUUGUUUUCUUAAUUAAAUGUUAAAUAAUCAAUCUGAGUACAUAUUUAGUGUGGAUUAAGCCGUGAGAAAUUUGAUAUUUCCAAAUAAUGCAAAUCGGGCACAAAUCAGGCAUCGUUACUUUCACAUUUGUUUGAUGUUACGGUUAAAGCAAUCGGAUUAAAAUACAGAUCAAUAUUUCAUUUCAAUUUUUUAUACUUUCGAUGGCCGCUACUGACUAUAUGAAGAUCUGACCGGUUGUAGUGCAAGGUCGCCUCAGGGGUCAUACGAGCAACUUUUGACCCAAUUGAUUAAUCAAUUACCUUUGACAUUUCUUGUGGUUUACCUUACAGUUCCACUCGACACAAACUAGGUCAUUUCGGGACUAAUGGUUAAAUUUUAUUUCAGUAAUUAGCAGCAGGAGGAAACACACAAAGUGGCGCCCUAAUCAUUGUCACGUACAACCGGGUAAUCGAAACACGUCAGUUGACUCAAUGACAGACCUUAUGAUACAAUGCACAUGUGCUAACCACCCCCCCACCCCCUUUGAAUAUGACGGUAGACUACAUGUUUUUUCUCACGAUAUUUAGGUAUUUAAAUUAUUGUGUGUUUAAGUUAAACUUGAAUAGUUCUUUUAAAUCAUGUAUCUAUUUGUUUUAUUACAAUAUAUACUCCGUUUUACUGCUUACAAAUUUUGUCUUCGUUAUUAUGUAAAUAAUGUAAAUAGAUAGAUUAAAUAUAAAUUCUGUAA